GUGCCAGCAGCCGCGGUAAUACGUAGGUCCCGAACGUUGCGCGAAUUUACUGGGCGUAAAGGGUCCGUAGGCGGUCUGGUAAGUGGAAGGUGAAAUUCUGGGGCUCAACUCCAGAAUUGCCUUCCAAACUGCCGGACUUGAGGCAGGGAGAGGUCGGCGGAAUUCCCGGUGUAGCGGUGAAAUGCGUAGAUGUCGGGAGGAACACCAGUGGCGAAGGCGGCCGACUGGAACUGACCUGACGCUGAGGGACGAAAGCCAGGGGAGCGAACCGGAUUAGAUACCCCGGUAGUCCACGCCCUAAACGAUGGAUGCUAGGUGUUGGAUCCGAGAGGAUUCAGCGCCGAAGCUAACGCGUUAAGCAUCCCGCCUGGGGACUACGGCCGCAAGGCUGAAACUUAAAGGAAUUGACGGGG
rnacentral:rRNA from 1 species